rnacentral:rRNA from 1 species
GAUGAACGCUGGCGGCGUGCCUAAUACAUGCAAGUCGAGCGAACAGAUGAGGAGCUUGCUCCUCUGACGUUAGCGGCGGACGGGUGAGUAACACGUGGAUAACCUACCUAUAAGACUGGGAUAACUUCGGGAAACCGGAGCUAAUACCGGAUAAUAUAUUGAACCGCAUGGUUCAAUAGUGAAAGACGGUUUUGCUGUCACAUAUAGAUGGAUCCGCGCCGCAUUAGCUAGUUGGUAAGGUAACGGCUUACCAAGGCAACGAUGCGUAGCCGACCUGGGAGGGUGAUCGGCCACACUGGAACUGAGACACGGUCCAGACUCCUACGGGAGGCAGCAGUAGGGAAUCUUCCGCAAUGGGCGAAAGCCUGACGGAGCAACGCCGCGUGAGUGAUGAAGGUCUUCGGAUCGUAAAACUCUGUUAUUAGGGAAGAACAAAUGUGUAAGUAACUAUGCACGUCUUGACGGUACCUAAUCAGAAAGCCACGGCUAACUACGUG